CGCGUGGAUAAUCUACCCUUAAGAUGGGGAUAACGGUUGGAAACGGUCGCUAAUACCGAAUACGCUCCCGAUUUUAUCGUUGGGGGGAAAGAUGGCCUCUGCUUGCAAGCUAUCGCUUAAGGAUGAGUCCGCGUCCCAUUAGCUAGUUGGCGGGGUAACGGCCCACCAAGGCAACGAUGGGUAGCCGGUCUGAGAGGAUGACCGGCCACACUGGAACUGGAACACGGUCCAGACUCCUACGGGAGGCAGCAGUGGGGAAUAUUGCGCAAUGGGCGAAAGCCUGACGCAGCGACGCCGCGUGAGGGAUGAAGGUUCUCGGAUCGUAAACCUCUGUCAGGGGGGAAGAAACCCCCUCGUGUGAAUAAUGCGAGGGCUUGACGGUACCCCCAAAGGAAGCACCGGCUAACUCCGUGCCAGCAGCCGCGGUAAUACGGAGGGUGCAAGCGUUAAUCGGAAUCACUGGGCGUAAAGCGCACGUAGGCGGCCUGGUAAGUCAGGGGUGAAAUCCCACAGCCCAACUGUGGAACUGCCUUUGAUACUGCCAGGCUUGAGUACCGGAGAGGGUGGCGGAAUUCCAGGUGUAGGAGUGAAAUCCGUAGAUAUCUGGAGGAACACCGGUGGCGAAGGCGGCCACCUGGACGGUAACUGACGCUGAGGUGCGAAAGCGUG
rnacentral:rRNA from 1 species